rnacentral:snRNA from 1 species
UUUGUCGAGACUUUGAUACAAACAU